rnacentral:rRNA from 1 species
UACGGAGGGGGCCAGCGUUGUUCGGAAUUAUUGGGCGUAAAGGGCGCGUAGGUGGCCAUGCAAGUCGGAGGUGAAAUCCCUCGGCUCAACUGAGGAACUGCCUCCGAUACUGCAUGGCUUGAGUCCCGGAGAGGGUGGUGGAAUUCCCAGUGUAGCGGUGAAAUGCGUAGAUAUUAGGAGGAACACCGGUGGCGAAGGCGGCCACCUGGACGGGUACUGACGCUGAUGCGCGAAAGCGUGGGGAGCAAACAGG